CUACGAAAUUUUUUGUAGGUCUUUAUAAAAUAGCCACGAAAUGCCACGGUUUUUUUGUACAUGCUUAAAACCCUAGACCCUAAAAUUCUUUUAAACCCUAAAUAUAAACCUUAAAACUCUAUUUUUUCAUAAUUUAACUUAAAUCUUAAAUUUAAAUUCAUAAUUUAAUUUCAAAUCAUAAUUUAAACUUCAAAUACUAUAUUCCAACCCCUUACUCAAAACUUUAUAUUCCAUAUACACUAAACUUUACUAUACAUAAAAUACUCUAAAUAUAAACUUCAAAACUAAAAUUUUGAAAAUUUAACUACAAAACUUAGACCUAAUAUUCAAAAUCUAAUAUUUUCAUACUCUGAUCCAAAAUCUUAAAUCAUAGUCUUGAUAUUAAUCAAAUAUUUUCAAACUUAAACAUCAAUUCUUAAAAUAAAUAUAAACUUAUUAUGUUCAAAAAAGAAAACUCUAAACUUAAAUUAUAAACUCGAAAAUACAAAAUUUUAUAUAAGGUAUAACUAAGAAAAAUUACUUAGAAAACAAAUUAUCAAAUAUUUAAGAACAAAACAAAAAUAAAAAUAGAAAAAGAAAGACAAAAUUUCGGGCCAAUCAGAUUCAAAUACAUAGAUCACACUCUUAACCAUUGGAUUAACUUAGAUCUAAAAGUAGAGAUUUAUUCAAUUCAAUUUUUAUUUUUUUCUUCUCUCUCUCUCACGACAUAUCUCAUCUCAUCUCCUUCUCUGCUUUUUUUUUCCCGAUUCUCUCUUCACUCUAACCUCUCAUAUCUCUCUUCUCUCUCAUCUCUCUCAACGCUUCUCUCAUCUCGCCCAUCUCUCUCAACGCCUCUCUCAUCUUACCACCACCGUGUCUCCUCCUCGUCUCACCACCACUGUUUUCCCCCUUGUCUCACCACCACCACGGUGGAGGAGCCAAGGUUCAUGGUGGCUGGAGGAAGCAAGGUUCAUGGCUGCUGGAAGAGGGACAAGGCUAUGGAGGAGGCGGCAUGAGUUUUUUCUUUAGGUUUAGGUUAGGUCUGGUUAAGUGUAAACCGAGUUAGAAAAAAUGUAGUGGUCUGAUUUUAUUUUUUAAUUUCUGGUUUAGUUUUGUAAACCAGAAUUAAUCUGUAAACCAAAUUUAAUUUAUUAAUAAAAUUUAUUUUAUUUUCA